AGCGAACGCUGGCGGCAGGCCUAACACAUGCAAGUCGAACGAAGUCUUCGGACUUAGUGGCGGACGGGUGAGUAACACGUGGGAACGUGCCUUUAGGUUCGGAAUAACUCAGGGGAACUUGUGCUAAUACCGAAUGUGCCCUUCGGGGGAAAGAUUUAUCGCCUUUAGAGCGGCCCGCGUCUGAUUAGCUAGUUGGUGAGGUAAAGGCUCACCAAGGCUACGAUCAGUAGCUGGUCUGAGAGGAUGACCAGCCACAUUGGGACUGAGACACGGCCCAAACUCCUACGGGAGGCAGCAGUGGGGAAUCUUGCGCAAUGGGCGAAAGCCUGACGCAGCCAUGCCGCAUGGAUGAUGAAGGUCUUAGGAUUGUAAAAUCCUUUCACCGGUGAAGAUAAUGACUGUAGCCGGAGAAGAAGCCCCGGCUAACUUCGUGCCAGCCGCCGCGGUAAAAC
rnacentral:rRNA from 1 species